GCCCUGCCGUGAGGUGCAGCCCGUGCCGAGCCCUCAGCGAGCGGGCAGAGCCGCCCUCCGCAGCCCGGCCCGGCCCCGCCGUGAGGCGCAGCCCGUGCCAAGCCCUCAGCGAGCGGGCAGAGCCGCCCUCCGCAGCACGGCCCGGCCCGGCCCGGCCCUGCCGUGAGGUGCAGCCCGUGCCGAGCCCUCAGCGAGCGGGCAGAGCCGUCCUCCGCAGCACGGCCCGGCCCGGCCGUGAGGUGCAGCCCGUGCCGAGCCCUCAGCGAGCGGGCAGAGCCGUCCUCCGCAGCACGGCCCGGCCCCGCCGUGAGGUGCAGCCCGUGCCGAGCCCUCAGCGAGCGGGCAGAGCCACCGCGCCCCGCGGGGGCUCCGGGGAAUCGGACUUGUCGGCGUUGGAAGGGAGCUUUGAGGUGAUACCGAGCCCAGGCGUGCACCCAGCGCUGCCCAUGGAAGCAGCGCCUUUCAAACACCGACUCCAACAGCUCCCUGGGCAGCCUGUUCCAACGCCUGAGCAUCCUGAUGGUGUUUUUUGGUGGUUUUGGGGUUUGUUUUGUUUUAAUAUCUAAUCUGAACUGCCGUCUCAGCCGGGCCAUUUCCUCUUCUCCUCCCAUGGGAAGAGACCGAGCCCACCUGGCUGCACCCUCCUGUCGGGUGGGUGAUAGCGAUGAGCUCUUCCCUGAGCCUCCUCUUCUCCUGGCUAAACACCUCCAGCUCCUCACGCCUUUUACAGACCCUUCAUGAGCCUUGCUGCCGUUCCUGGACACACUCCAGCACCUCAAUGUCCUUUUUUAAAGAGGGGGGCCCAGAACUGAACGCACACUCAAGGUGCAGCCUCACCAACGCUGAGUACAAAGGGACAAUCACUUCCCAAUAAUUCCAGAUUAACAGCACUUCUCAUUCUCCAUGAGUAAUGUGUUUCUCAAUGUGCCUCAGCUUGGCGCCUGGUGUGAUUCUGGGGCUGCCCUGUGCAUGAGGAGACCUCUUUAAUGCGUAUAAAUAUCUAAAGGGGAGAUGCCAAGAUGCUCUUAGUGGUGCCAGCCACUGGGAGGAGAUACAUGGGAGGUCCCACCUGAAUAGAAGAAGUUUACUGUGCAGUGAUCAAGCACUGGAACAGAUUGCCCAGAGAGGCUGUGGAAUCACCCUGGGCAGAUAUCCCAGACCCGCCUGGAUACAAAGCAAGGCCGUGUUCUGAAAUGGCCCAGUUUGAGCAGGGAGGUGGGAGCAGAUGACCCUCUGUGCUCCCUUCCAACCCCACCCGUUCUGUUAUUCUGUGCAGGGCCACGAGUUGGAUUUGGAUGAUCCUUGUGGAUCCAUUCCAGCUCAGGAUAUUCCAUAAUUCUGUAAACUUCUGGCUUUCCUCUUAACAUGGGUGACCAUUUUGCCCACGUGUCCCUGUAAAGUGACAGUGCUCAGUGCCUGCCCGUGGCCUGCUGGGUUCCUUAGUCCUUAGAACCUCCAAGGCUGGCAGGAUCACACCUGGAAGAGGAGCAGAUGUUUGGAAUUGGCUGGAUAACAAUGCCAACUGGAAUGUUUUCAUCCAGACAGCAGUGAAUUCCCUCCAGGAUGACAACAGGGUGCCUCAGCCCACCAAAGACUCCUGUGGUUGGUGCUCCUCCACUGCCUGUCCCCUCUGCCACCCUCCCAAAUGUGUACCCAGGCAUCCCAAAGGCCAGGAAUCUGUCUCCCUAACCAUGACAGAGCAUGCCUGUGCAUCAGACACGUCUGUGAAACUCAGCAAAAUUCCUGCAAGGAGCAGCCGACUUUUGGAAUCUUCUUGCAAGGAGAGAUCUUCCAAUCCCUUCAUCAUCUUCAUGACCCUUCAAUGGACUCUCACCAGCAGCUCCUGUACUGGGGAGCCCAGAACUGGACACAGCACUCAGGUGCAGCCUCAUCUGAGCAGAGGGGAAGCAUCCCCCUAACCCAACACUUGUCCCAGAGCAGCCCAGGAUGCCAUUAGCCCUCUGCUAAUGAAGAACCAGAACCUCACAGCCUUCCCUGUGCAUUCCAGAAGUCCCAGCAUGUACUGGCACGUGGGAUCAUUCUUCAGGACUUUGCAAUUCCCUUUGCUGAACAUCAAAACAUUUCUGUCAGCCCAUUUCUCCCUCCUGCAGAUCUUCAUGAAGGUGUCAGAUGGGCUGGACCUAGUCACAGAGUUACUGUCUUCCACCAAACCUCACAGCACUGAUCACCACAGUCUGGGACCAGUCUUUCAGCCAGUUUUCCAUCUACCUCUGGGUUUAUCCAGUCCAUGCACCACCACUACGAGGAGGUUUCAGGAGAUCCUAUCAAAUACCUGACUCAAGCCAAGGCACACAACACGCCCUGCUCUUCCCUCACCCACCCAGGCAGUUGUUCCUUCAGAGGGUUAUCAGCUUAAGCCCGACUUCCCCUUUUUGCAUCCAUGCUGACAUCAAGUGUUUUGCCACCAACUGAUUUAUCCCUUUGCCAACAGCAGUCCCCCCUUGCCUGACACCCCACUGGUGCUAAUGCCACCCUGCCUGGGAGGUCUUUUGACAACUGUCAUUUAUUCAAGACACUGGGAAAGGCUGAACCUGUCCACCUCUGCUAUUCUGAGAGCAGAGGGGUUCCGCAACAGCACCCCAAGCCACGAGUGCACCAGGACUUGCUGAGUGAGUGUGACAGAUUGAUGUCUUGAGACAUUUUGGGGUGCAUGCAUGUGGGGAAAGGGGCAGGUCAGGCCUUGCCCUGGGAGGUAAUGCCCUGCUCUGCACAUCCCCAAUCCCCAGAGCCUGUAUCCCAGCCCUGCAGUGGCUGCCAAUCCCUGGCACAGCAGAGGCAAUGCUCCACACCUGCCCCUGGAGCCCCAGCCAAGGUCCCCAGUGGGCAAAUGACUGGAAAACUCACCUGGGUCAAUGGCCCAGGAAGGCUAAGGAGUACCUAAAGCUGAACUGGAGGUGAGCACAGAUCUUGACCCUAUAUCCUCUUGGAGUUUUCAUCACUUGAAACACCUCUGGAACACAGGAGAGGGUAGCUAUACAUGUCCUUUUCUCUAUAUUUUCUUGCUUUCUUCUUUAAUUCCCUCCUCUUGGAAGUCAUGAUCAAUUUAAAAUGGAAUGGGCUUAAAAGUUUGCCAAGUUGAAUGGGCCAAUUUAAUGCUCCAAGUGUUUUAUGUCUAGUGUGUGCUACUCUAAACCUUUAGCCAAAGUUCUCAGAUUUUCUAAAUUUGCCAGCAAGGUCUUUUUGGUUGUUUUGACCUCUUGAGAGUACCUUGUCAGUAUUUCUGCUGUGCUCUAACACAGAGCACAUCAACAACCACCAGCUCUUUUAAAAGCCUUGUCAGGUGAGUUUUUUGGGGCCUUACGGUGCAGGGGACCAGCCAAAAGCCAGAGAUGCUGCCUCCUCCUUCACCAAGGGGCUGAUCUGUUCCAGCAGCUUUGCUCCAGGUCUGGCUUAGACUUGCAGAACUAAGACAAGGUUGGCCAAAUCUGCCAACUGGGACUGCAGUCAGCACCGUGCAGCACCAAAUAGGAGACAACACCAGCAUCCAUUUAUUCUGUCUUUAUUCACCAGGGAGAGGAGGCCAGUGUUUUAUCUUGUCUUCUGCAUGAGGCCUGAGAAGCCUCACCAGUUCUGCAGAGCUUUGGUCCCUCUUACCUACACAGAAUCAGCCCUUGGUCGUGGCAAAGCUGAAGUGCCUGGAGGAGUGCAGGCACACAGGGAAAGGGAUAAAAGGCUGCCUCAUCACAGAGCAAGAAGGAAUGAGUCUGCCCCAGCAGCAGUCACUGGGGGAAGGUGUUUCCUUUCUUGUUCUCUCCAAGACCAAAGCUUGUCCCAGCUCACAUCAGGCUGGAGAGCAAUGGAGCAUGGUCCAUUGAACUCUUAAUCACAGAGCAAAACCAAUGCUCUGGAAAGAGUGAAAGAACCACGAGGGAGCAAGGCUAAGGGUGUCUGCUCCAAGCUUUGUGGGAUGCCUGUGAAAUUUUGGGUUUGGUAGGGCAAGUCAAGUCCUAGCAACACUGGCCAAAGGAUCUUGCUGGCUACCAUCCCACCAA